rnacentral:rRNA from 1 species
ACGAAGUUUUUCGGAACUUAGUGGCGGACGGGUGAGUAACGCGUGAGAAUCUGCCUUAAGGAUUGGGACAACAGUGGGAAACCGCUGCUAAUACCAAAUAUGCCUUUUAGUGAAACGGGUAAAACCGCCUUAAGAUGAGCUCGCGUCUGAUUAGCUAGUAGGUGUGGUAAGAGCGCACCUAGGCGACGAUCAGUAGCUGGUCUGAGAGGACGACCAGCCACACUGGGACUGAGACACGGCCCAGACUCCUACGGGAGGCAGCAGUGAGGAAUUUUUCGCAAUGGGCGAAAGCCUGACGGAGCAAUACCGCGUGAGGGAGGAAGGUUCUUGGAUUGUAAACCUCUUUUCUCAGAGAAGAAUAAUGAUGGUAUCUGAGGAAUAAGCAUCGGCUAACUCCGUGCCAGCAGCCGCGGUAAUACGGAGGAUGCAAGCGUUAUCCGGAAUGAUUGGGCGUAAAGGGUCUGUAGGUGGUUGUUCAAGUCUGCUGUUAAAGCGUCUGGCUUAACCAGAUAAAGGCGGUGGAAACUGAACGACUAGAGUGCGGUAGGGGUAGAGGGAAUUCCCAGUGUAGCGGUGAAAUGCGUAGAUAUUGGGAAGAACACCUGUGGCGAAAGCGCUCUACUGGACCGCGACUGACACUGAUGGACGAAAGCUAGGGGAGCGAAUGGGAUUAGAUACCCCAGUAGUCCUAGCCGUA